rnacentral:sRNA from 1 species
UUCAUCGGGGGACAGGAAUCAGCACUUCCUCUGCGGGAGAUCAUCCGUCGGCUGGAGAUGGCCUACUGCCAGCAUAUUGGGGUGGAGUUCAUGUUCAUCAAUGACCUGGAGCAGUGCCAGUGGAUCCGGCAGAAGUUUGAGACCCCUGGGAUCAUGCAGUUCACAAAUGAGGAGAAGCGGACCCUGCUGGCCAGGCUUGUGCGGUCCACCAGGUUUGAGGAGUUCCUACAGCGGAAGUGGUCCUCUGAGAAGCGCUUUGGUCUAGAAGGCUGCGAGGUACUGAUCCCUGCCCUCAAGACCAUCAUCGACAAGUCUAGUGAGAAUGGCGUGGACUACGUGAUCAUGGGCAUGCCACACAGGUACGGCCAAGGGCGCGCCUAACCUGGUUUCUCACCACCCCUGUGGGCUGUGUAGGAGGCACCAGGUAAAGGCACUGAGAGAGCAGCUGUUUCCUCCUUGAGUGCCAGUUGUGAGUCUGGGCUCAUCUGGUACCUGAGGGUGUAUUGCUUUGCAGGGGAUUCUCACAUUGCCUGCCUCUGGAGGACUGCAAAGUC